rnacentral:rRNA from 1 species
GUCAAGCUACAAAGGGCGCAAGGAGAAUGCCUUGGCACUGGGAGCCGAUGAAAGACGUGGUAAGCUGCGAUAAGCUUCGGGGAGGAGCAAACAUCCUUUGAUCCGGAGAUUUCUGAAUGAGGAAACUCACCAGAGUUCAUACUCUGGUAUCCUGUACUGAAUCCAUAGGUACAGGAGGGGAACCGCCUGAACUGAAACAUCUAAGUAGGGCGAGGAAGAGACAUCAAACGAGAUUCCGUUAGUAGUGGCGAGCGAACGCGGAAGAGGGCAAACCGGAAGGAGAAAUCCUUCCGGGGUAUGGACCGCUUUUAGGACUUUAGCUGUUAAUCGAAUGGCAUGGGAAGGCCAACCAAAGAGUGUGAGAGUCACGUAGAUGAAAACGGCGAGAGCUGCGCGAGUUCCAGAGUACGGCCAGACACGUGAAACCUGGUCGGAAGAUGGGGGGACCACCCUCCAACCCUAAAUACUACCCAGUGACCGAUAGCGUAUAGUACUGUGAAGGAAAGGUGAAAAGGACCCCGGGAGGGGAGUGAAAUAGAACCUGAAACCUUGUGCCUACAAGCACAUAGAGCACAUCAACGUGUGAUAUGGUACUUUUUGUAGAACGGUCCGGCGAGCGAUUGUAUGUUGCNNNNNNNNNNNNNNNNNNNNNNNNNNNNNNNNNNNNNNNNNNNNNNNAGCGAGAGCGAGUCUGAACAGGGCGUUCAGUAACAUGCAAUGGGCCCGAAACCGGGUGACCUACCCAUGAUCAGGCUGAAGUGAAAGUAAAAUUUCAUGGAGGGCCGAACCGACCUCCGUUGAAAAGGCGGCGGAUGAAUUGUGGGUAGCGGAGAAAUUCCAAUCGAACUCGGAGAUAGCUGGUUCUCCCCGAAAUAGCUUUAGGGCUAGCCUCAUAUUAGAUACCCGGAGGUAAAGCACUGAAUGGCCUAGCGCCCGAGAGGGUAGCGAAGCCUAUCAAACUAAGAAUGCCGGAGUAUUGAUGUAUGGGAGUCAGACAGUGUGAGAUAAAUCUCAUUGUCAAAAGGGAAACAGCCCAGAUCUACAGCUAAGGUCCCAAAUUGUAUCUAAGUGGAAAACGAUGUGGAAAUACGCAGACAACCAGGAUGUUGGCUCAGAAGCAGCCACUCAUUUAAAGAGUGCGUAAUAGCUCACUGGUCGAGCGUCUCUGCGCGGAAAAUUUAACGGGGCUAAGAUACAAACCGAAGCUUAGGCUGCACGAAAGUGCGGGGUAGGGGAGCGUUGUGUAAGCGGAGAAACAGUAGCGUAAGCGGCUGUGGAGUUUACAGAAGUGAGAAUGCCGGAAUGAGUAGCGCGAAUGUGGUGAGAAUCCACAUGGCCGGAAACCUCAGGUUUUUGGAGGAAGGUUCGUCCGCUCCAAGUUAGGCGGGAGCUAAGGUCAGGCCGAAAGGCGUAGCCGAUGCACAGACGGUAGAGAUUCCGUCCCCACCGAAAGAUUUAAGCACAGGGACACUUUUUGAAGGUCGGAGCCAGGUGUUGGUUCUGGUAGUGAUCGAGGGAAAUAUAGUACCGAAGUCCGGCUGGAAGAGAGGCGAGAAAAGCUGUGUGUAUAUCUAAGGUGCCCGUACCGCAAACCGACACAGGUAGGUAGGAAGAAGAUUCUAAGGCCAACGGGAGAAGGGUUGUUAAGGAACUCGGCAAGUUGACCCCGUAACUUCGGAAUAAGGGGUGCUCACGAGAGUGAGCCGCAGAGAAUAGGCCCAGGCAACUGUUUACCAAAAACACAGGUUUGUGCUAAAUCGAAAGAUGACGUAUACGAGCUGACGCCUGCCCGGUGCUGGAAGGUUAAAAGGAGAUGUGCAAGCAUUGAAUUGAAGCCCCAGUGAACGGCGGCCGUAACUAUAACGGUCCUAAGGUAGCGAAAUUCCUUGUCAGGUAAGUUCUGACCCGCAUGAAAGGCGUAAUGAUCUGGGCACUGUCUCAACAGCCCGCCCGGCGAAAUUGUAGUACCGGUGAAGAUGCCGGUUACCCGCGACAAGACGGAAAGACCCCAUGGAGCUUUACUGUAGCCUGAUAUUGGGUUUCGGUGUUGCAUGCACAGGAUAGAUGGGACGCUGGGAAAGAAGCGCUUUGGCGUUUCUGGAGCGGACGUUGGGAUACCAUCCUUGCGACAUUGGAAUUCUAACCUGCGCCUCUGAAUCGAGGCGGGGGACAUUGUCAGGUGGGCAGUUUGACUGGGGCGGUCGCCUCCUAAAAAGUAGCGGAGGCGUUCAAAGGUUCGUUCGAUCUGGACGGAAACCAGAUGAUUGAGUGCAAACGCAUAAACGAGCCUGACUGCGAGACUGACGGGUCGAGCAGAGACGAAAGUCGGAGUUAGUGAUCCGGUGGUAUGUGAGUGGAAAUGCCAUCGCUCAACGGAUAAAAGUUACCCUGGGGAUAACAGGCUGAUCUCCCCCAAGAGUCCACAUCGACGGGGAGGUUUGGCACCUCGAUGUCGGCUCAUCGCAUCCUGGGGCUGAAUUCGGUCCCAAGGGUUUGGCUGUUCGCCAAUUAAAGCGGUACGCGAGCUGGGUUCAGAACGUCGUGAGACAGUUCGGUCCCUAUCUGUCGUGGGCGCAGGAUAUUUGAAAGGCGCUGUCCCUAGUACGAGAGGACCGGGAUGGACGAACCUCUGGUGCACCAGUUGUCACGCCAGUGGCACAGCUGGGCAGCUAUGUUCGGAUCGGAUAAACGCUGAAAGCAUCUAAGCGUGAAGCCGGCCUUAAGAUAAGAUAUCCCACUGAGUCAAUCAGGUAAGACCCCUUGAAGACUACAAGGUUGAUAGGCACACAGUGUAAGCGGAGUGAUCCGUUCAGCUAGCGUGUACUAAUAGGUCGAGGGCUUGAC